GACGAACGCUGGCGGCGUGCUUAACACAUGCAAGUCGAACGGAAAGGCCCUGCUUUUGUGGGGUGCUCGAGUGGCGAACGGGUGAGUAACACGUGAGUAACCUGCCCUUGACUUUGGGAUAACUUCAGGAAACUGGGGCUAAUACCGGAUAGGAGCUCCUGCUGCAUGGUGGGGGUGGGAAAGUUUCGGCGGUUGGGGAUGGACUCGCGGCUUAUAAGCUUGUUGGUGGGGUAGUGGCUUACCAAGGCUUUGACGGGUAGCCGGCCUGAGAGGGUGACCGGCCACAUUGGGACUGAGAUACGGCCCAGACUCCUACGGGAGGCAGCAGUGGGGAAUAUUGCACAAUGGGCGGAAGCCUGAUGCAGCAACGCCGCGUGCGGGAUGACGGCCUUCGGGUUGUAAACCGCUUUCGCCUGUGACGAAGCGUGAGUGACGGUAAUGGGUAAAGAAGCACCGGCUAACUACGUG
rnacentral:rRNA from 1 species